UACGGGGGGAGCAAGCGUUGUUCGGAUUUACUGGGCGUAAAGGGCGCGUAGGCGGUCGUGACAAGUCACUUGUGAAAUCUCCGGGCUUAACUCGGAACGGUCAAGUGAUACUGUCGGACUAGAGUACAGAAGGGGCAACUGGAAUUCUCGGUGUAGCGGUGAAAUGCGUAGAUAUCGAGAGGAACACCUGCGGCGAAGGCGGCGAUCUGGGAAGAUACUGACGCUGGAGGUGCGAAAGCGUGGGGAGCAAACAGG
rnacentral:rRNA from 1 species